AACGUUAUGGUCUUAUUUCGUGAAGUUCUUUUGAUAUUUUUCUGUGCUACUUUUUCCUACUUUGUUAGAAUUUGUAAUUUACAAGUUCAUCGAGUCGAGCCCUACUUCCCAGUUUUAAUGUCAACAUUCUACUGUAAAAACUUCCAGAACCAUUGCGUGUUUUGGAUAGAGCCGAUAUGACAAAAAGUUUGUGGAUAAUGUGGUAAUGCUGAUCGACUUUGUUAUACUAACUCAUACUAAGAGAUGCCAGCAACAAUAACAAGUUUCCUGAAGAAUGUUCCAGUCGGAGAGUUGGAAACAAUUAUGUCUGUAUAAGUUGUGGAAUAUCUUUGGGAAGGCACUCACAAAGAUAAAAACAGGCCAUAGGCUUAUGGAAAGAAGUGAAGAGUGGUAUUAUAUAGAAAAAAAAAACAAAUAUCUCUGAGAUAAAUGCCUGAUGGAUGCCCAUGUAUGCAUUGUUUGCAGAAUGAGCUCACCUCAAAAGCAUUAAUAUCUAGUGAACAUAAAACCUGUGUUAAGUGUGCCGUUGCAAUGUAUGUAGUUCUA